rnacentral:lncRNA from 1 species
AUGACUCAUCCCACCUGGUACCGUGAAGCAAGGCUGAACUCCCCUCAGGAGUUUGCUUCUGGAGACGUCCAUCUGCCACUCCUUGGAGUCUAUGGACCCAGGACCCAGGGCCCAGCCCUGUCAGGAACAGGGUGGGGAAGGAGCACCAUCCAGGACCCAGCAGCGCCGCCCCAGAGCCAUCUCAGGCAGGAGCAUCCUGCUAUACCCCACACCUUGACUUUUCCCUCCUCCAGUCUGGGCUAUGUCAGCAGUGCUACCUUGGAGCUUUCUCCCACUGUUGCCUUCAGGGUCUGGGCCCUGGGAUGGUGGGCCUCUUCCAACAGCUCAGCAACCCUCAUGGCUCCAGGGCCAGAUGUCUCGUCUCUCCUGCUGAUUUAUCUUCAGGUCUGUGAGUUGUCCCUAUCUGCACUUGAACACUGGUGCAGGGCCAGGUGUGCUCCCUGGAGGGUCCCUGGAUCUGGGGAGUGUCGCCCCUCACAUCAGCACCCUGGAGCGCCCAGCAGCUCUGGGACCCUGCUGAGUGUGCCUAGAUCUCUCAGCCACAGCCUGCCUCCCCCUCGUGCUGGACACCUAGGGCAGGCUUGGCCAGACUCUUACUCAUCUUGCCUUUGCAACACUGAAGCUGAGAAGGCUCAGGCUUUGCUAAGGGACCUACAUCUAGAUGGAGUGUGGGAGAGACAGGGGCUCCCACAGAGGGGGCAGUGCCCAGAUGAGAGCACAGAGCACGGCGGAGAGAAGAGAGAGUAUGAGGUGCUCCCUAAAUUCUGCCUCUUUCCUUCUUGCUUUUUUUUUUUUUUUUUUUUUUUUUUUUUUUUUUUUUUUAAGUUUUUCAAGACAGGGUUUCUCUGUGGCUUUAGAGCCUGUCCUGGAACUAGCUCUUGUAGACCAGACUGGUCUCGAACUCACCUGCCUCUGCCUCCCGAGUGCUGGGAUCAAAGGCGUGCGCCACCACAGCCUGGCUCCUUCUUGCUUUCAAGGUAUAUUUUAUUAUUUAUUUCUCUAAGGUGUGUUAGCAUUCGUGUGUGUGUGUGUGUGUGUGUGUGUGUGUGUGAGAGAGAGAGAGAGAGAGAGAGAGGGAGAGAGAGAGAGAGAGAGAGAUGUGUGAGCAUGUGUGAGCAUGCUUGUAUCUGUGUAAAUGGGAGCAUAUAG